GCCAGACUGGUCUCGAACUCCUGACCUCAAGUGAUUCAUCUGCCUUGGUCUCCCAAUGUGGUGGCAUACAGGCGUGAGCCACAAUGCCCACACCCUCUUUGUUUUUCCACCUUCCACCCUCAAGUAGGCCUCAGUUACUGUUGUUCCCCACUUUGUGUCCAUGUGUUCUUAUUAUUUAACUCUUACUUAUAAAUGAGAACAUGCAUUUGGUUUUCUGUUUCUGCAUUACUUUUCUUUUCUUUUCUUUUCUUUUCUUUUUUUUAAGAUGAGUCUCACUGUCUCCCAGGCUGGAGUGCAGUGGCACGAUCUCUGCUCACUGCAAGCUCCGCCUCCCGGAUUCACACCAUUCUCCUGCCUCAGCCUCCACAGUAGCUGGUACUACAGGCGCCCGCCACCACGCCCAGCUAAUUUUUUGUAUUUUUAGUAGAGACGGGGUUUCACCACAUUAGCUGGGAUGGUCUCGAUCUCCUGACCUCGUGAUCCACCCGCCUCGGCCUCCCAAAGUGCUGGGAUUACAGGCGUGAGCCACCGCGCCCAGCCUUCUGCAUUACUUUUCUAACAAUAAUGGUCUCCAGCUCUAUCCAUGUUGCUGCACAGGAUAUAAUGCUGUUCUUUUUUUUUUUUUUUUUUUAAUGGCCAGAGAGUAUUUCAUGAUGUUUAUGUGCCAUAUUUUGUUUUUAUUAGAUCUUUUAUUUUAUUUUUCUUUGGAGACAGGGUCUCAUUCUGUCACUCAGGCUGGAGUGCAGUGGUGCGAUGACUGCUCAUUGCAGCCUCAAUCUCCUGGGCUUGAGCAGUCCUCCUACCUCAGCUUCCCAAUUAGCUGGGACUGCAGGCAUGCACCACCAUGCCUGUCUAAUGUUUCUUUUUGUAUUUUUUUGUAGAGACGGGGUUUUGCCAUGUUGCCCAGGCUGGUCUCAAACUUCUGAGCUCAGGCAAUCAACUUGCCUCAGCCUCCCAAAGUGCUGGGAUUACAGGUGUUAGCCACCUUGUCCGACCAUACCAUAUGUUCUUUAUUCAGUCUAUUAUUGAUAGGCAUUUAGAUUGAUUCCAUGUCUUUGCUAUUGUGAAUAGUACUGCAAUAAAUAUGCAUGUGCAUGUGUGUGUCUUUUUAAGAGACUAAUUUAUAUUUCUUUGGGUAUAUACCAAGUUAUGAGGUUGCUGGGUCAAAUGGUAAUUCUGCUUUUAGUUCUGUAGUUCUGUGAGGAAUUGUUACACUGCUUUUUUUUGACUGAGUCUUGCUCUGUCACCCAGGCUGGAGUGCAGUGGCAUGAUCUUGGCCUACUUCAACCUCUGCCUUCCAGGUUCAAGCGAUUCUCCUGCCUCAGCCUCCUGAAUAGCUAGGAUUACAGGUGCCCGCUACCACACCUGGCUAAUUUUUGUAUUUUUAGUAGAGAUGGG
rnacentral:lncRNA from 10 species